GGGGGAGUAGCUCAAGGGCAGAGCGGCCGGCUCAUAACCGGUUGGUUGCGGGUUCGAAUCCUGCCUCCCCCACCU
rnacentral:tRNA from 1 species